rnacentral:rRNA from 1 species
GACGAACGCUGGCGGCGUGCUUAACACAUGCAAGUCGAACGGAAAGGCCCUGCUUUUGUGGGGUGCUCAAGUGGCGAACGGGUGAGUAACACGUGAGUAACCUGCCCUUGACUUUGGGAUAACUUCAGGAAACUGGGGCUAAUACCGGAUAGGAGCUCCUGCUGCAUGGUGGGGGUUGGAAAGUUUCGGCGGUUGGGGAUGGACUCGCGGCUUAUCAGCUUGUUGGUGGGGUAGUGGCUUACCAAGGCUUUGACGGGUAGCCGGCCUGAGAGGGUGACCGGCCACAUUGGGACUGAGAUACGGCCCAGACUCCUACGGGAGGCAGCAGUGGGGAAUAUUGCACAAUGGGCGGAAGCCUGAUGCAGCAACGCCGCGUGCGGGAUGACGGCCUUCGGGUUGUAAACCGCUUUCGCCUGUGACGAAGCGUGAGUGGCGGUAAUGGGUAAAGAAGCACCGGCUAACUACGUG